AACGAACGCUGGCGGCAGGCUUAACACAUGCAAGUCGAGCGCAUCCUUCGGGGUGAGCGGCGGACGGGUGAGUAACGCGUGGGAACGUGCCCUCUUCUACGGAAUAGCCUCGGGAAACUGAGAGUAAUGCCGUAUACGCCCGCAAGGGGAAAGAUUUAUCGGACGAGGAUCGGCCCGCGUUGGAUUAGGUAGUUGGUGGGGUAACGGCCUACCAAGCCGACGAUCCAUAGCUGGUUUGAGAGGAUGAUCAGCCACACUGGGACUGAGACACGGCCCAGACUCCUACGGGAAGCAGCAGUGGGGAAUCUUGGACAAUGGGGGCAACCCUGAUCCAGCCAUGCCGCGUGAUCGAUGAAGGCCUUAGGGUUGUAAAGAUCUUUCAGCUGGGAAGAUAAUGACGGUACCAGCAGAAGAAGCCCCGGCUAACUCCGUG
rnacentral:rRNA from 1 species